rnacentral:tRNA from 1 species
GCAAUCGUAGUUUAAUUGGCUAGAACUAAGCCAACUACAACUUGGCAUGAAUGCAGGUUCGACUCCUGCCGGUUGCA